AAAUGUGCCUGACAUUUUGUUUUGCAGAGCUCUGUGUUGUUAUUUGGGCGAGGAGUUUCUCCUGACCAUAUGACUAGACCAGGAAAACUUCCAGGCCCUAGUUACUAGGGCUGAGAGUUAUUUGCUUCAUAGCCUCUGUUUACUGUAUGUCCUUACGUCCUUAUGUCUGGUGCUUCUCACCUCAAAGAUCUUGUGAUUACAAAAAAUACAUGUAAAAGCCCUUUAUUAUUUUCAAUUACAUUCUGUCACAUGAAUUAGUUUUCGUGCACCAUAUUUUAUAACUUCAGUACCAUUUAAGUACAGUACAUGGUUACCAAGUACGCAAUGAAAAAACUUUUUUUUCAUCAUCUCCACUGCCCAUUCCAACAGCUCAUCCAGCUCAGCCGUUUUAUCAAGCUCCUCCAGCUUAUCAAGUUUAUCAAGCUCCUCCAAUUUAUCAAGCUCCUCCAGUUCAACCAGCACCAGCUCAACCAGCUCAUCCAACAGCUCCAGUUCAACCAGCUCAACCAGCACCAGCUCAUCCAACAGCUACCGUUCAACCAGCUCAUCCAACAGCUCCAGUUCAACCAGUUCAACCAGCACCAGCUCAACCAGCUCAUCCAACAGCUCCAGUUCAACCAGCUCAACCAGCACCAGCUCAUCCAACAGCUACCGUUCACCCGGCUGAACCAGUACCUGGACCUGCACCAGCUCCAUCGACUCAAGAACCACAGGCUCCCAAAGAAAAGGCUGCCUCCACAAAGAAGGUUCCAAAGGAAAAGACCAAGGCAUCUGCCUCAAAGACGGAGUCUCCUAAAGGAAAUGUUAAGAAGCAAGAACUUGUGGUGUCCAAAGGGAAGGUCAAACCAGCUGUUGUAAAGAAAGAAGCUGUUGUCUCUGAAGAAAAGACAAAACCUUCCACAACAAAGAAAGUUUCAGAGGUUGUUGUUUCCAAAGAUAAAGCUAAAACAACAGCUGCCAAGAAAGAUCCUGUGGAAAAGGGCAAGGACAAAAUGACUCCUACAAAGAAAGAGCCUGCAAUCUCCAAAGAAAAAGUCAAGACAACCACACCCACUACCAAAAAAGUUGUUUUAGAACCCAAGCCCCCUAAAGAGAAAACCACUCCAAGAGUCCCCACUAUGAGGAAAGGUAACCACACAAAUGUAGUGGUGCCAAUGGUCAAAGCCACCGCAAGAGUUGUCACUAUAAGACCCAUAUCUACAAAAAAAGGUCCUGCGAUGAAGGAGAAGCUAACUAACGCACCUGAAGCAGCAAAAGAGAAACCGAAAGCGGCAGAGAAAAAAAAAGAAGACAAGGUGAAGGAUGAGAAGACAUCAGACGCCAAAGCUAAAGCCACACACUCUGUGAAGACUGCCCAGCCCACUAAACCUCUAAGUAAAUAUUCGAUCCCGAAGCAAGACAUGUCCUUUGUUUUGAUAAGCAGGUCAAUUCCUGUCUUUUGUUUGUUUACCACGUGA
rnacentral:lncRNA from 8 species